rnacentral:rRNA from 1 species
CCUACGGGAGGCUGCAGUGGGGAAUAUUGGACAAUGGGGGGAACCCUGAUCCAGCCAUGCCGCGUGUGUGAAGAAGGCCCUCGGGUUGUAAAGCACUUUCAGUGAGGAAGAACGCCUGGUGGUUAAUACCCAUCAGGAAAGACAUCACUCACAGAAGAAGCACCGGCUAACUCCGUGCCAGCAGCCGCGGUAAUACGGAGGGUGCGAGCGUUAAUCGGAAUUACUGGGCGUAAAGCGCGCGUAGGUGGCUUGAUAAGCCGGUUGUGAAAGCCCCGGGCUCAACCUGGGAACGGCAUCCGGAACUGUCAAGCUAGAGUGCAGGAGAGGAAGGUAGAAUUCCCGGUGUAGCGGUGAAAUGCGUAGAGAUCGGGAGGAAUACCAGUGGGGAAGGCGGCCUUCUGGACUGACACUGACACUGAGGUGCGAAAGCGUGGGUAGCAAACAGGAUUAGAUACCCCUGUAGUC